GGUUCACAUUUGUGGUGACAGGCUGGCCAGGUUCCGUACAUGACACAAGAGUACUACAGGAUACUUUAAUAACUUAUGCGGACAGGUUCCCCCAUCCACCGGAAGGUAAAUACUAUCUUGUCGAUUCGGGUUAUCCAAAUAGAAAGGGGUACCUUGCACCUUAUAAGGGGCAGAAGUACCACAUUACGGAAUGGCAAAAUGCGAGGCAACCUAUUGGGAGUAAAGAAGUAUUCAACUAUGCGCACUCAUCCCUACGAAAUGUUAUUGAGCGAUCAUUUGGGGUGCUAAAAAUGAAGUGGAGAAUUCUAUUAAGUCUCCCUUCAUUUUCGCUUGAGAAACAAUCGAAGAUAAUUAUUGCAUGUAUGACACUGCAUAACUUCAUUAGAGAUAGUGCUCUACACGAUAGAGAUUUUGAUGAAGUAGGACCUAAUAGCCUAAGUCAUGAUCUACCUGCAGGUGAGAGUAGUACUAGCACAUCUGAUGAGUUAGACAUGAGUGAUUUUCGAGAUGCAA